rnacentral:rRNA from 1 species
CAAAAGUUCGAUGACUACAAGAGGUGGCUUUAUGAGACUGGAUUCAGGGGUAUGCUGAAUCUCCCAUUGCUCAACAAGAUAGAUCUGAGAAUGAGUGCAUGGGUCAUGAGGAAGGUGAAGGUCAAGUCUCGCACAAUAGUCAUUGAUGAUAAUAGGAUGUUAUUAUUUGUGCCAGAGGACUUCCACAAAAUCUUUGGUGUGCCUUGCGGUAAUCGAGCUGUUCAUGGUAGGGAGGGCCAAAUCAAGAGCUCAGCAAUAGAAUUUAUAAAGAAGACAAUUGGGAUGGAUGAGUCGCCUGCUCACAAUCUGAAGGCGGCAGAAGCAUUCCUUAGCAGGUAUAUUUCAGAAGAGUCGAACAAGAUUGAGAAGGAUUGUUUUCAGAUUGCAGUUGUUAUUUUUGUCAUGGGUUACCUGCUAUCUCCGUGCAUGAAGUAUGGCCACAUGAGAAUUUAUUUUUGGGGUACUGUGGCCAAUCCAGAAGUUAUAUCACAAUUCAAUUGGUGUGAGUAUAUAUGCACUCGAUAA